AGAUUGAACGCUGGCGGCGUGCUUAACACAUGCAAGUCGAGCGGUAACAGGCGUAGCAAUACGUGCUGACGAGCGGCGAACGGGUGAGUAAUGCUUUGGAAUCUACCUUUUAGUGGGGAAUAACCUGGGGAAACUCAGGCUAAUACCGCAUACGACCUACGGGUGAAAGCGGGGGAUCGCAAGACCUCGCGCUAAGAGGUGAGCCAAAGUCGGAUUAGCUAGUUGGUGAGGUAAAGGCUCACCAAGGCGACGAUCCGUAGCUGGUCUGAGAGGACGACCAGCCACACUGGAACUGAGACACGGUCCAGACUCCUACGGGAGGCAGCAGUGGGGAAUAGUUGGACAAGUGGGGGCAACCCUGAUCCAGCGACGCCGCGUGUGUGAAGAAGGCCUGGCGGGUUGUAAAGCUACGUUUUAGUAGGGAACAAAAAACGUACGAACUAAUAUUCUGUGGUCUUAGAUUUAAACCCAAAGAAAACGCAACCGGCUAACGUCUGU
rnacentral:rRNA from 1 species